CGCCCCGGAGCCGGCCGGCGGGCGGUGGGAGUGGAGUGGGAGUGGGGAAAUCCAGGAGGGGCGGCCUCCGCCUCACCCCACCCCGUGUCCUGGGACUGAGCUUUUUCAGGGGCGGGGGUGGGGUGGCGUCUCUACUGGUCUGAGAUGCCGGCCGGCCGAGAAAGCGGCGAGGUGAGCGAGUGUGCGCGGAGCCACGUCUGUGGUGACCGCGCUGGCGGCGUCUGCAGUCCUGGAGACCAUACCCACCAGGGUUCCAGUCAAGUGGCACUGAAGGAGAGCCAGUGGAGGAAGAGACCAUCUCUCGGGAGCACUGCCCUCUUGCUGCACCAUUGCCCUCAGCCCCUCCUCACCACCUCUGUUCAAAAAUAACGCUGCCCAGGCCAGCUGAAGGCUCUGAUCACGGAAGUGCAGACUCUCUGCACUGGUGCAGGUUCUCACUCCUCUGGAGGGGGAUGCAGGGACAGCGCCACCCCCUUCCUCCAUCGGAGAGCUUGACAGAGGUCCUGGGCACUGGCUCCUGCUUCCUCACCCCCAGAGGCAGCCGCUGGUGACCUGCUGAAGGCUGGGGUCAAGCCAGAGGACUGUUGCCUGCAGAGCACUGUCACAGCAUUGGCCAGGGGGACAUGAGCACUUGGUCAGAAGCCUGGUGGCAGUCUGGGUGAGUCCUUCCAGCCCCAUGGUGUGGGUCCAGAUUUGUAACCGCCAGGCAG